rnacentral:rRNA from 1 species
GACGAACGCUGGCGGCGUGCUUAACACAUGCAAGUCGAACGGAAAGGCCCUGCUUGCAGGGUACUCGAGUGGCGAACGGGUGAGUAACACGUGGGUGAUCUGCCCUGCACUUCGGGAUAAGCCUGGGAAACUGGGUCUAAUACCGGAUAGGAGCCAUUUUUAGUGUGAUGGUUGGAAAGUUUUUUCGGUGUAGGAUGAGCUCGCGGCCUAUCAGCUUGUUGGUGGGGUAAUGGCCUACCAAGGCGGCGACGGGUAGCCGGCCUGAGAGGGUGGACGGCCACAUUGGGCCUGGGAUCCGCCCCGGCCUCCUCCGGGGGGCAGCAGUGGGGAAUAUUGCACAAUGGGCGCAAGCCUGAUGCAGCGACGCCGCGUGGGGGAUGACGGCCUUCGGGUUGUAACCUCCUUUCGCUAGGGACGAAGCUUUUUGUGACGGUACCUAGAUAAGAAGCACCGGCUAACACGUG